UACGUAGGGGGCAAGCGUUGUCCGGAAUCAUUGGGCGUAAAGCGCGUGUAGGCGGUUCGAUAAGUCUGCUGUGAAAGUCCAGGGCUCAACCCUGGGAUGCCGGUGGAUACUGUCGGGCUAGAGUGCGGAAGAGGCGAGUGGAAUUCCCGGUGUAGCGGUGAAAUGCGCAGAUAUCGGGAGGAACACCAAUUGCGAAGGCAGCUCGCUGGGACGUUACUGACGCUGAGACGCGAAAGCGUGGGGAGCAAACAGG
rnacentral:rRNA from 1 species